GUGCCAGCAGCCGCGGUAAUACAGAGGUCUCAAGCGUUAUUCGGAUUCAUUGGGCGUAAAGGGUGCGUAGGUGGCGAUGUAAGUCUGGUGUGAAAUCUCGGAGCUUAACUCCGAAACUGCAUUGGAUACUGCGUUGCUUGAGGAUUGUAGAGGAGAGUGGAAUUCACGGUGUAGCAGUGAAAUGCGUAGAUAUCGUGAGGAAGACCAGUUGCGAAGGCGACUCUCUGGGCAAUUCCUGACACUGAGGCACGAAGGCCAGGGGAGCAAACGGGAUUAGAUACCCCGGUAGUCC
rnacentral:rRNA from 1 species